UUANAUAAAAGUAUUAAAAUGUGUUUGUGUGUGUGUCAUUUCAGGGUUGUUUUUAUCUCUUCUUCAAGCAGCUGUAAAAUCUUUCUUGUAAUAGCUGAAUUUCACAGGAGCGUCUUAGGGAAGCAUAUCAGGCCUCAUGAGAACGCCUCUUAUUUUCCUGCUCCUGUAUGUGGGAGCGAUGGCUUUCGGCACCUUGUGUUCAGUGGUGCAGAGUCAAACCUGUGGAACGAGUGCUGGGCUUACAGCAGAACAAUGCACUGAUUUGGACGGUCCCACGCGGAACUUCCUGACAUGUGCUGGCGUCCCAUCAGAGCCUGAUGCAGACCACAUCCUUCACCUGAAGGGACUCAUCAGCGCCGCUCUGGAUGUCUACUCCUUCAUGCGCUCCAGUGUGGCCGGUGUGCCGGUCAUGGAUCUAUCGGGAGGCAUCAGUAUGAACGAGGAUCACGUGAUCAGAGCGUGGCUGGACAUCAAACUCACUCCUCUGCUGUCGUCCAUCUCCAGAAACUUCCUCACAUGCCUCAGCAACAGAAACUUCAGCUGCAGCGCCUAUCAGAUAGUUGUAAAGGAGUUGAGUCAGCAUUUCUCCGGUCUGGAUCCAGUGCGACAGAAGUGGAUCUAUUCUUUCUUCAUGUACCCGUUUCUCUCUAGAAAUACAUCCUCAGGUUGUGUAGAUCCAGAGGACAGUACUGAGGACUGGCUCAUGAAGAACUUCGGCUUGUUCUCGGUCAUGGCUCAAGUGCGAGACUUCACAUCCAUCAACAUGUUUUUCAGCGGGCUGGAGGUUUUGCACCUCUUGAGUCCAGAACAGAAGGCAGAGCUACUCCUUCAUCCGGAGGAGGUGGGCUUGACAGACAGCUCCCUCGGCCUGGU
ensembl:lncRNA